rnacentral:rRNA from 1 species
UGGGGAAUAUUGCACAAUGGGCGCAAGCCUGAUGCAGCCAUGCCGCGUGUGUGAAGAAGGCCUUCGGGUUGUAAAGCACUUUCAGCGAGGAGGAAGGUGGUGGACUUAAUACGUUCAUCAAUUGACGUUACUCGCAGAAGAAGCACCGGCUAACUCCGUGCCAGCAGCCGCGGUAAUACGGAGGGUGCAAGCGUUAAUCGGAAUUACUGGGCGUAAAGCGCACGCAGGCGGUUUGUUAAGUCAGAUGUGAAAUCCCCGGGCUCAACCUGGGAACUGCAUUUGAAACUGGCAAGCUAGAGUCUCGUAGAGGGGGGUAGAAUUCCAGGUGUAGCGGUGAAAUGCGUAGAGAUCUGGAGGAAUACCGGUGGCGAAGGCGGCCCCCUGGACGAAGACUGACGCUCAGGUGCGAAAGCGUGGGGAGCAAACAGGAUUAGAUACCCCUGGUAGUCCACGCUGUAAAACGAUGUCGAUUUUGGAGGUUGUGCCCUUGAGGCGUGGCUUCCGGAGCUAACGCGUUAAAUCGACCGCCUGGGGAGUACGGCC